GGAGCUCGACUUAUAGCUCAUGCAGGCUCCCUGCUGAAUUUGGCUAAGCACCCUUCCUCCACAGUUCAGAUUCUUGGGGCCGAAAAAGCUCUAUUCAGAGCCCUGAAAACCAAGCAUGACACCCCAAAGUAUGGUCUCAUUUACCAUGCCUCUUUGGUCGGGCAGGCCAAUCAAAAACUCAAGGGAAAGAUGUCUAGAAUGCUUGCUGCUAAAGCUGCCCUCGCGAUUCGUGUUGAUGCAUUAGGAGAAGACACUAAUGUUGAGCUAGGAAUGGAGCACAGAGCCAUGUUGGAAAAACGCAUGAGAUCAUUAGAGGAGGGAAAGGCAAGAAAAAGCACAGGAAGUGGAAAAACUCCUGUAAAAUUUGAGAAGUAUUACAACAAAAGUGAAGUAAAAACAUAUGACACAGCAUUUGACUCAACUUUGCCAAGUGCCUCUAAGAAACGAAAAUUUGAGGAGAAUGGGGAUUUGGAAGAUGUAAAGCCUAAGGUCGCCAAAGUGGAAGAAGGUGGGGAUGCCCCAAGCUCAGAGAAAAAGAAGAAAAAGAAGAAGAGGAAGAGCGAAGAACCUUUGGAGGAAGUUCUGCCAUCUGGAGACUCAGAAAAGAAGAAGAAGAAAAAGAAGAAAAUUAAAGAAGAACCAGAUAGUGACUGAUGAUGUCAUAAUGACAUCAUGUGAUCAACCAUUUUAUCAUGUGUUCAUCUUGUUGAGUUUUAUAGACUGGUCAGAAUGUUAAAGGAAGAGAGAGAGAGAGGUGGAGAAUGUGCCUGUUGUAUUCAGAGUCAUCUAUGUCAACUCUUUGUUAAGGAUAAUUUGUUAUAUUUUACCUCCAGUAAAUAGACUGAUUGUAUUCAUAUACCC
rnacentral:misc_RNA from 1 species